GGUUAGGGUUAGGGUUAGGGUUGGAGUUAGGGUUAGUGUUGGAGCUAGGGUUAGGGUUGGGCUUGGAGCUAGGAUUUUUCUGAGUGCACUGAACCAACUCCCGAGUCUCUAGGACAUUCCUAAAAAAUUUGAUUUUUUCCCAUAGGAAUGCAUGGGUUAGGGUUAGGGUUAGGGUUGGAGCUAGGGUUAGGGUUAGGGUUGCAGUUAGGGUUAGUGUUGGAGCUAGGGUUAGGGUUGGGCUUGGAGCUAGGAUUUUUCUGAGUGCACUGAACCAACUCCCGAGUCUCUAGGACAUUCCUAAAAAAAUUUGAUUUUUUCCCAUAGGAAUGCAUGGGUUAGGGUUAUGGUUAGGGUUAGGGUUGGAGCUAGGGUUAGGGUUAGGGUUAGGGUUGGAGUUAGGGUUAGUGUUGGAGCUAGGGUUAGGGUUGGGCUUGGAGCUAGGAUUUUUCUGAGUGCACUGAACCAACUCCCGAGUCUCUAGGACGUUCCUAAAAAAAUUUGAUUUUUUCCCAUAGGAAUGCAUGGGUUAGGGUUAGGGUUAGGGUUGGAGCUAGGGUUAGGGUUAGGGUUAGGGUUGGAGUUAGGGUUAGUGUUGGAGCUAGGGUUAGGGUUGGGCUUGGAGCUAGGAUUUUUCUGAGUGCACUGAACCAACUCCCGAGUCUCUAGGACAUUCCUAAAAAAAUUUGAGUUUUUCCCAUAGGAAUUUAUGGGUUAGGGUUAGGGUUAGGGUUGGAGCUAGGGUUAGGGUUAGGGUUAGGGUUGGAGUUAGGGUUAGUGUUGGAGCUAGGGUUAGGGUUGGGCUUGGAGCUAGGAUUUUUCUGAGUGCACUGAACCAACUCCCGAGUCUCUAGGACAUUCCUAAAAAAAUUUGAUUUUUUCCCAUAGGAAUGCAUGGGUUAGGGUUAUGGUUAGGGUUAGGGUUGGAGCUAGGGUUAGGGUUAGGGUUAGGGUUGGAGUUAGGGUUAGUGUUGGAGCUAGGGUUAGGGUUGGGCUUGGAGCUAGGAUUUUUCUGAGUGCACUGAACCAACUCCCGAGUCUCUAGGACAUUCCUAAAAAAAUUUGAUUUUUUCCCAUAGGAAUGCAUGGGUUAGGGUUAUGGUUAGGGUUAGGGUUGGAGCUAGGGUUAGGGUUAGGGUUAGGGUUGGAGUUAGGGUUAGUGUUGGAGCUAGGGUUAGGGUUGGGCUUGGAGCUAGGAUUUUUCUGAGUGCACUGAACCAACUCCCGAGUCUCUAGGACAUUCCUAAAAAAAUUUGAUUUUUUCCCAUAGGAAUGCAUGGGUUAGGGUUAUGGUUAGGGUUAGGGUUGGAGCUAGGGUUAGGGUUAGGGUUAGGGUUGGAGUUAGGGUUAGUGUUGGAGCUAGGGUUAGGGUUGGGCUUGGAGCUAGGAUUUUUCUGAGUGCACUGAACCAACUCCCGAGUCUCUAGGACAUUCCUAAAAAAAUUUGAUUUUUUCCCAUAGGAAUGCAUGGGUUAGGGUUAGGGUUAGGGUUGGAGCUAGGGUUAGGGUUAGGGUUAGGGUUGGAGAUAGGGUUAGUGUUGGAGCUAGGGUUAGGGUUGGGCUUGGAGCUAGGAUUUUUCUGAGUCCACUGAACCAACUCCCGAGUCUCUAGGACGUUCCUAAAAAAAUUUGAUUUUUUCCCAUAGGAAUGCAUGGGUUAGGGUUAGGGUUAGGGUUGGAGCUAGGGUUAGGGUUAGGGUUAGGGUUGGAGUUAGGGUUAGUGUUGGAGCUAGGGUUAGGGUUGGGCUUGGAGCUAGGAUUUUUCUGAGUGCACUGAACCAACUCCCGAGUCUCUAGGACAUUCCUAAAAAAAUUUGAUUUUUUCCCAUAGGAAUGCAUGGGUUAGGGUUAGGGUUAGGGUUGGAGCUAGGGUUAGGGUUAGGGUUAGGGUUGGAGUUAGGGUUAGUGUUGGAGCUAGGGUUAGGGUUGGGCUUGGAGCUAGGAUUUUUCUGAGUGCACUGAACCAACUCCCGAGUCUCUAGGACAUUCCUAAAAAAAUUUGAGUUUUUCCCAUAGGAAUGCAUGGGUUAGGGUUAGGGUUAGGGUUGGAGCUAGGGUUAGGGUUAGGGUUAGGGUUGGAGUUAGGGUUAGUGUUGGAGCUAGGGUUAGGGUUGGGCUUGGAGCUAGGAUUUUUCUGAGUGCACUGAACCAACUCCCGAGUCUCUAGGACAUUCCUAAAAAAUUUGAUUUUUUCCCAUAGGAAUGCAUGGGUUAGGGUUAUGGUUAGGGUUAGGGUUGGAGCUAGGGUUAGGGUUAGGGUUAGGGUUGGAGUUAGAGUUAGUGUUGGAGCUAGGGUUAGGGUUGGGCUUGGAGCUAGGAUUUUUCUGAGUGCACUGAACCAACUCCCGAGUCUCUAGGACGUUCCUAAAAAAAAUUGAUUUUUUCCCAUAGGAAUGCAUGGGUUAGGGUUAGGGUUAGGGUUGGAGCUAGGGUUAGGGUUAGGGUUAGGGUUGGAGUUAGGGUUAGUGUUGGAGCUAGGGUUAGGGUUGGGCUUGGAGCUAGGAUUUUUCUGAGUGCACUGAACCAACUCCCGAGUCUCUAGGACAUUCCUAAAAAAAUUUGAGUUUUUCCCAUAGGAAUGCAUGGGUUAGGGUUAGGGUUAGGGUUGGAGCUAGGGUUAGGGUUAGGGUUAGGGUUGGAGUUAGGGUUAGUGUUGGAGCUAGGGUUAGGGUUGGGCUUGGAGCUAGGAUUUUUCUGAGUGCACUGAACCAACUCCCGAGUCUCUAGGACAUUCCUAAAAAAAUUUGAGUUUUUCCCAUAGGAAUGCAUGGGUUAGGGUUAGGGUUAGGGUUGGAGCUAGGGUUAGGGUUAGGGUUAGGGUUGGAGUUAGGGUUAGUGUUGGAGCUAGGGUUAGGGUUGGGCUUGGAGCUAGGAUUUUUCUGAGUGCACUGAACCAACUCCCGAGUCUCUAGGACAUUCCUAAAAAAAUUUGAUUUUUUUCCCAUAGGAAUGCAUGGUUUAGGGUUAUGGUUAGGGUUAGGGUUGGAGCUAGGGUUAGGGUUAGGGUUAGGGUUGGAGUUAGGGUUAGUGUUGGAGCUAGGGUUAGGGUUGGGCUUGGAGCUAGGAUUUUUCUGAGUGCACUGAACCAACUCCCGAGUCUCUAGGACGUUCCUAAAAAAAUUUGAUUUUUUCCCAUAGGAAUGCAUGGGUUAGGGUUAUGGUUAGGGUUAGGGUUGGAGCUAGGGUUAGGGUUAGGGUUAGGGUUGGAGUUAGGGUUAGUGUUGGAGCUAGGGUUAGGGUUGGGCUUGGAGCUAGGAUUUUUCUGAGUGCACUGAACCAACUCCCGAGUCUCUAGGACGUUCCUAAAAAAAUUUGAUUUUUUCCCAUAGGAAUGCAUGGGUUAGGGUUAGGGUUAGGGUUGGAGCUAGGGUUAGGGUUAGGGUUAGGGUUGGAGUUAGGGUUAGUGUUGGAGCUAGGGUUAGGGUUGGGCUUGGAGCUAGGAUUUUUCUGAGUGCACUGAACCAACUCCCGAGUCUCUAGGACAUUCCUAAAAAAAUUUGAUUUUUUCCCAUAGGAAUGCAUGGGUUAGGGUUAGGGUUAGGGUUGGAGCUAGGGUUAGGGUUAGGGUUGCAGUUAGGGUUAGUGUUGGAGCUAGGGUUAGGGUUGGGCUUGGAGCUAGGAUUUUUCUGAGUGCACUGAACCAACUCCCGAGUCUCUAGGACAUUCCUAAAAAAUUUUGAUUUUUUCCCAUAGGAAUGCAUGGGUUAGGGUUAUGGUUAGGGUUAGGGUUGGAGCUAGGGUUAGGGUUAGGGUUAGGGUUGGAGUUAGAGUUAGUGUUGGAGCUAGGGUUAGGGUUGGGCUUGGAGCUAGGAUUUUUCUGAGUGCACUGAACCAACUCCCGAGUCUCUAGGACAUUCCUAAAAAAAUUUGAUUUUUUCCCAUAGGAAUGCAUGGGUUAGGGUUAUGGUUAGGGUUAGGGUUGGAGCUAGGGUUAGGGUUAGGGUUAGGGUUGGAGUUAGGGUUAGUGUUGGAGCUAGGGUUAGGGUUGGGCUUGGAGCUAGGAUUUUUCUGAGUGCACUGAACCAACUCCCGAGUCUCUAGGACGUUCCUAAAAAAAUUUGAUUUUUUCCCAUAGGAAUGCAUGGGUUAGGGUUAGGGUUAGGGUUGGAGCUAGGGUUAGGGUUAGGGUUAGGGUUGGAGUUAGGGUUAGUGUUGGAGCUAGGGUUAGGGUUGGGCUUGGAGCUAGGAUUUUUCUGAGUGCACUGAACCAAC
rnacentral:lncRNA from 1 species